UACGUAGGGUGCGAGCGUUGUCCGGAAUUACUGGGCGUAACGAGCUCGUAGGUGGUUUGUCGCGUUGUCCGUGAAAACUCACAACUCAAUUGUGGGCGUGCGGGCGAUACGGGCAGACUGGAGUACUGCAGGGGAGACUGGAAUUCCUGGUGUAGCGGUGGAAUGCGCAGAUAUCAGGAGGAACACCGGUGGCGAAGGCGGGUCUCUGGGCAGUAACUGACGCUGAGGAGCGAAAGCGUGGGGAGCGAACAGG
rnacentral:rRNA from 1 species